rnacentral:rRNA from 1 species
ACGUAGGUGGCAAGCGUUGUCCGGAAUUACUGGGUGUAAAGGGCGUGUAGGCGGGAUGUUAAGUCAGAUGUGAAAUUCCAAGGCUCAACCUUGGAGCUGCAUCUGAAACUGAUGUUCUUGAGUGAUGGAGAGGAAAGCGGUAUUCCUAGUGUAGCGGUGAAAUGCGUAGAUAUUAGGAGGAACACCAGUGGCGAAGGCGGCUUUCUGGACAUUAACUGACGCUGAGGCGCGAAAGCGUGGGGAGCAAACAG